rnacentral:lncRNA from 1 species
GUGUGAAUUUAAUUGUUUAAUUAAAAAGACGUUGAAAUGUUCGUAUUUUGUGCAAUUGAAAAUUUAAGGACAUGAUUUAUAUUCAUAUAAGAAAUCAGACGAUACCAAGUGAAUAAUUUGACUACUAGUGCAACACUUACACAUGUUACAGGUCGGAAGAACAAAGACGGAAAACAAACAAAAAAUAAACAAAUUAGGCCCCAAAAAUUAUUCAGUAACUUAAAAGUUGUCUCACUCUAACAUUUAUCUUAAAAGUAAGUAAAAAUUAUGUCAUUCAACUCCCAGUUUUCAACUUUUUCUACAUGUGCAGAAAAUAAACAGGUGUCUUCUAUUCCGUCCGCAAUUUAUGGGAAAACUAAAUCUAAAUUUAGAACCAUAUUGAAAUUGAAA